rnacentral:rRNA from 1 species
AUGGUGAAAUCCCAGAGCUUAACUCUGGAACUGCCAUCAAAACUUUUCAGCUAGAGUAUGAUAGAGGAAAGCAGAAUUUCUAGUGUAGAGGUGAAAUUCGUAGAUAUUAGAAAGAAUACCAAUUGCGAAGGCAGCUUUCUGGAUCAUUACUGACACUGAGGAACGAAAGCAUGGGUAGCGAAGAGGAUUAGAUACCCUCGUAGUCCAUGCCGUAAACGAUGUGUGUUAGACGUUGGAAAUUUAUUUUCAGUGUCGCAGCGAAAGCGAUAAACACACCGCCUGGGGAGUACGACCGCAAGGUUAAAACUCAAAUGAAUUGACGGGGACCCGCACAAGUAGUGGAGCAUGUGGUUUAAUUCGAAGAUACGCGCAGAACCUUACCAACACUUGACAUGUUCGUCGCGACUUUAAGAGAUUAAAGUUUUCGGUUCGGCCGGACGAAACACAGGUGCUGCAUGGCUGUCGUCAGCUCGUGUCGUGAGAUGUUGGGUUAAGUCCCGCAACGAGCGCAACCCUCACUUUUAGUUGCCAUCAUUAAGUUGGGCACUCUGAAAGAACUGCCAGUGAUAAGCUGGAGGAAGGUGGGGAUGACGUCAAGUCCUCAUGGCCCUUACGUGUUGGGCUACACACGUGCUACAAUGGUAUCUACAACAGGAAGCAAGACUGCGAGGUCAAGCAAAUCCUAAAAAGAUACCUCAGUUCGGAUUGCACUCUGCAACUCGAGUGCAUGAAGCUGGAAUUACUAGUAAUCGUGGAUCAGCGUGCCACGGUGAAUGCGUUCCCGGGUCUUGUACACACCGCCCGUCACACCAUGGGAGUUGGUUCUACCUUAAGGCAAGGUUUAAAACCCUUGACCACGGUAUAGUCAGCGACUGGGGUGAAGUCGUAACAAGGUAGCCGUAGGGGAACCUGCGGCUG